GAUGAACGCUAGCGGCAGGCUUAACACAUGCAAGUCGAGGGGCAACACGGGUAGCAAUACCUGGUGGCGACCGGCGCAAGGGUGCGUAACGCGUGAGCAACAUGCCCUAUACAGGGGGAUAAUCCAGGGAAACUUGGUCUAAUAUCCCAUAGUAUUUAGAGGUGGCAUCACCACUAAAUUAAAGCUUCGGUGGUAUAGGAUUGGCUCGCGUGACAUUAGCUGGAUGGUGGGGUAACGGCUCACCAUGGCGAUGAUGUCUAGGGGUUCUGAGAGGAAGACCCCCCAACUGGGACUGAGACACGGCCCAGACUCCUACGGGAGGCAGCAGUGAGGAAUAUUGGACAAUGGAUGGAAAUCUGAUCCAGCCAUGCCGCGUGCAGGAAGACGGCCCUAUGGGUUGUAAACUGCUUUUAUAUGGGAGCAAUAAGGUUUACGCGUAGACCGAUGAGAGUACCAUAUGAAUAAGCAUCGGCUAACUCCG
rnacentral:rRNA from 1 species